GCUUGCCUUUUCAUUAUUGCACUUAUUUUUAAUGGAGUGAUGUGAUGGAGCUAUAAAGGAGCUUCUUUAGGGGCUACUGGCCAAAGUUGGGGGUGGAAGCCGACGUCAAGGUCGGAGGCCGAGGUGAGCUCAGACGCACACAGAAAACACAGACAUCCGAGGGCCGAAGCUGGACACGCGGAUGCAUCCUCUCCUUUUCUUCCUCUCCUGCCAUCUUUUCUCUCUCCAACCUCAUCUACUUUUUUUUUGUCUUUGCUCAUGAUGGGACA
rnacentral:lncRNA from 1 species